rnacentral:rRNA from 1 species
UACGAAGGGGGCUAGCGUUGCUCGGAAUCACUGGGCGUAAAGGCGCGUAGGCGGCCAUUCAAGUCAGAGGUGAAAGCCCAAGGCUCAACCUUGGAAUUGCCCCUUGAUACUGUUUGGCUUGAGACCGGAAGAGGUUAGUGGAACUGCGAGUGUAGAGGUGAAAUUCGUAGAUAUUCGCAAGAACACCAGUGGCGAAGGCGGCUCACUGGCCCGGUACUGACGCUGAGGUGCGAAAGCGUGGGGAGCAAACAGG